AACGAACGCUGGCGGCAGGCUUAACACAUGCAAGUCGAGCGCCCCGGUAACGGGGAGCGGCAGACGGGUGAGUAACGCGUGGGAAUCUACCCAACCCUACGGAAUAACGCAUGGAAACGUGUGCUAAUACCGUAUACGCCCUCUGGGGGAAAGAUUUAUCGGGGAUGGAUGAGCCCGCGUUGGAUUAGCUAGUUGGUGGGGUAAAGGCCUACCAAGGCGACGAUCCAUAGCUGGUCUGAGAGGAUGAUCAGCCACAUUGGGACUGAGACACGGCCCAAACUCCUACGGGAGGCAGCAGUGGGGAAUAUUGGACAAUGGGCGCAAGCCUGAUCCAGCCAUGCCGCGUGAGUGAUGAAGGCCCUAGGGUUGUAAAGCUCUUUCACCGGUGAAGAUAAUGACGGUAACCGGAGAAGAAGCCCCGGCUAACUUCGUGCCAGCAGCCGCAGUAAGAC
rnacentral:rRNA from 1 species